rnacentral:rRNA from 1 species
GAUUUCUGACAUUAAUGCGCUUGGCCCGCUACGGUUACGUAUGUGUGUGCCGAGUCGUGUUUGUCAUCCUUCUAGAGAAUGCGGGACGGCUCUUCACUGAGUCGCUCCGUCACAAUCUAGAUCUUUUACUUUGAAAAAAUUAGAGUGUUUAAAGCAGGCGUUUGCUAUGAAUACAUUAGCAUGGAAUAAUAAUUUAGGACUUCGGUUCUAUUUUGUUGGUUUCUAGAACUGAAGUAAUGAUUGAUAGGGAUGGUUGGGGGUGCUCGUAUUCAGUGGCCAGAGGUGAAAUUCUCGGAUUCACUGAAGACGAACUUAUGCGAAAGCAUU